UUAAGAAUGUUAUAAAGGCAUGUUUCUAAAUUAUUAUGUUCAUUUGAUCCAUGAUGUUGGAGUUGUUUGUACUUGUAAAUAUGUAGCUCAAAAUACCUGCAGCUGUAACUGAAAAAAAAUCUUGGUGCUUCUACAAAUUAAUGAUACAAGCCAUGGUUACAUAUGCAAACUUUUCAGUUUUCGCUUAGUAAAAUGAUGAAACCCAUUCUUCCUGUUGUCCCAGACUUUUGUGCUAGUCCUUCUCCUUAACAUUAGCUACAUAAGUUACUCAACAUGCUGUGCAUGUGAGCACUAACAUAAUUAGCAAUGCAUCACUUAUUGCAACGUAGUAAUGUUCUUCCGGACCUAAACCAUGCAGCAGGUGACACUCUGAUACAGAAAUUAAACCUGCCUGUCUUUUUCUCCUUUUCCAUUGUACGUAUUUAUGUUUAUGCCAGCAUUAUUCCAUUUGUGCUCCUUUUUUUCAGCCUCCUCCCUCUGAAUUAAAAAUAAUGUAUGACGCCCUGACAGAUCUUACUGCCAGAACAGGCUGCAGCUGUGGCAACCACAGGAAUCAGCAGGAUAGACCCGGUUUCAUCUGGAGCAGUGUCUCGUCAUCCUUGUUGCUCACGUCAUAAAGUGACGAUGUUGCUCUAAUUGCAUAAAAUGGUCAACUAAAGCCUAUUGAUUUGUAAUUUGGUGGGGCAUCUUUCAUAUACGCUGGAAAACAACUCAUCCUGCAGCCUGCAUACAGGAAGCCAGCACCAAACCAUGCAGCCUGCAUCCUUGAAGAAGGAGGGACUUGGGCAGUUCUGCUUUCUGAUUUUUGUGGCUUACUCCAUUUUCAGUGCUGCAUUCAUGAUAUAUUUUGUCCCAGAGACAAAGAAGAAGACCAUGACAGAGAUAAUGGAUGAUUUUAACAAACUGAACUACAAGAACAGAAGCAGUGGUAUCGAGAGAACAGACAUUUCAACUAAAUUGUAAUUUCUUACUUCAAAUUUGCCUUUUGAACAUCAAGUUUUAGGAAAAUAAAAUGUGUCUAAUUUCUUGUUUGCAAUCAAGUCUUGCUUUAUCAUUUAUAUAUAUUUUUAUCUACAUAUAUAAGCCACAAUAGUUAUAUUGAUUUCCAUGUCUGAAAUCAAUAAAAGUGUGUAAAAAAAAAAAAAGAAAAAAAGCAGUAAGUAAAUGAGCCUUAAAGCAGCCAAAUUCAAAUAUGAAUUCGUAGGGGAAAAUGUACUUGGUGAUUUUUCCAGAGAGGAGGGAAGAGAGGGAAAUGUUGUCUAGCAGUAGUAGCUUGGAGACUAAAGUAAACUGGCACACCGCUCUGAAAAUUAAAAGUGAUAUGUCGUGAGCCAGGUGUACUUGUAAUUUACUACGAUGGCUACAGUCUACUUGUUAUUCAAAAUAAUUAAUUGAGGUAGAAUUACUUUAGUUCUGACUAAUAUUGCGCCUCUGAUGUACACAAGUCAAAUUUCUCUCAGGUUUCUCCCAACAAUUUUGUCACCAGGAUAACCUUUUCUAGACUAUGAAAAUGUUCCAGUGUGCAACAGCAAGUCCAGCUCUGAGUGUCUUUACAAAAAAAAACACAAAUAAAGUGAACAAAUGAAAGCUUCCAAGUGGCAUAAUCAAAGUUCAGGCGAAAUAACUACUUAAUAUUCACAGGACAAGUGUUUGGAGAUUUUCAGCUGCAAUUUAUUUGAUUCUCAUCUCUAAACCAAGAAUUUGAGACGAGACUCAAUAACAGAGUACAAAAACAAAUAUCUAUAGAAAAGUAAGCUCAUAAUGAAAUAUGUCCAGACGUCAUAACAAAACACAAAGUUCAAGUGUUUUUAAGAGCAAUCCCGUCGAGUACAAUGCGCUUUUUAUACAAAAGUGUCAAUGCAAGUCACUCUGUACAAUUUUUACCCUUUAGAAAAGAAAAAGGACCAUUUUAUUUUUAUUAAUCCACUGCUGAGCACAAUCAGUAUUUGGAAGGCACUUUGCAACAGACAAAAAGCAGAAAGCAAAACAUUUAACCCAAAACAAUUAAUUAAUGUCAUAAUUCAAUUUUGGGAACGAAUAAACAGAUCAUAUAUUCCUAAUAAUGUCUAAAACAAAGGUUUAUUAUUUCUUUACAGCAUAUUCCAGGUGUUUUAAACAGUAAAUGUAACAAAGCCUUUAAAUGAGGAAAUACCAGUGCAGAAUGGGUAAAGAGAAAAAGAAAAAGCUUGGUCACAGAGUCGAGCAGCUGGCAGUGUGAGCGCUACCACGGCAACGUGAUAGAUAGUUCAGUGUAACUAAUAUAAACGACUACAGCCACCAACCAGUGAUCGACAUUCAGCCCCCAGCUCAGCUUGCAUGCCUGAACUUUACACUUCAGAUGGCCAUAACUUAACAUCCCUCCCAACAACACAAGAAACUAAACCAUAAUAUGUACAAAACUCACCACUUACAAACACAGAUCAAACAGGUCGGUUCAUAUAUUUAUCUAUUUAUAUAUAUAUUUAUAAAGAGAGAGAGUGUGUAUAGGUGGGGGUGUGUGUGCGUGUAUGGGAGGUAUAUACACUUGUUACAAUCACAAUAUAACCAUAAAUAAUAUAGGAAUGUACUAAAAUACUCACAAAUAAUUAACAGCAUACACUGAGAUCCAUCAUCCACUCACCACAUACACACACCAUCAGCCCUUCACUGCUAGACUGAGUCUGAUUUGCAUCGCAAUACACGUCUUCAACAAAAAUAAACAAAUAUGAGAAUAAAUUCGAUGCGUGGAGUUUAGUGGAUGCUUCGCAACCGUAUGGAUAUCACAGAGCGAAACUCUGUGCUCAAAACGUUUCAUUGUACUUCAGCUUCAAAUAUUUACAGGAAAACGUAAGGGAGGCGAGUUAUGAUUAGGGCUGCGGUGGAGCAGCAAUUAGGUAAAUCCAGAAAUGCGGUAGAAUCAGGUGCUUUUGAGGAAGAGCCAAAUGACUUAAAACAUAAAUGUUUACUGGCUUUUAUUCCUGCUGAGCUUUGAGUGAUGAAUAAACCAAACUGAGGGUUUGAAAAUAAACUGACUGGAUGUGAUUUUAGCCAUUAAUUUACAAAACGUUUGAUGCCUUUGACAUGAAUCAAGCAUACCCAUUAAAUAUGUUGCAUAAUUCCUCAUGUCCCCACAAAAAAGAGGUUUUCAAUCAACUGCUUGUUUGUCUCUGCCACAUAAACGCAUCACUUAAGAAUCAAUCGUGUAACAUCCAACCCAAGAAAGCAGCCGCUAAUGUAAAGAGAUCCAUAGCAACAGGACGCAGCACAAACGGCUCUGAGCACAAGAUGAAGAGGAAGAGGGAAAGUCCAUGUGAUGAAGGUGUAAAACCAUUGACCAGGUGGCUCUGUCAGCUGCGACUCGUUCCCUCGGCGAAGCGUCCCAACACCUCUUCCACAACACACAUAUUCACGCCUCCGUUUACCAUAAAUUAAAAGUGAAAACACAAGAAUAAAACAAGAUUUUUGACAGUAAAUUAAAAAAAAAACAACAACACAAAACUCAGAGUAUGAAUAAGUUAUUAAAAUAUAAUCUACAUCUUUUAAAAUACAUAAGGAAAAUAUACCUGAUCUUGGUCCCCGUUUCAUGCAUUUAACUCAUUCAAGAAACUAACACAAAGACCGACAUUAUCCAGACCUUCUAUUUAAAUCGGUUUGCGAAUCCCCAAUUUCCUCUUUUAGUCUCCUCCUCUGUUUGGACGCGUUUUAGUGAAAUUAAGAAAUGUAAUCAAAGUAGGACUUCUGGUUCAGCAGUAUCAAAUAGAGAGGAGAUUUUCUUAAAAAAGAGUCAGAUCAUUGUCCAUUUAAUAAACUCUAGCCAUGUUUGUCUAAAUUUAAAUCAAUGCAUGACUUUUCUUCCUUGAAUUUUUUUUUCUCCUUUUAAACAAUUUAUUGAGCACAUAAAACAUAAACAAAGAGAAUCCCUUUGAAAAGUGCUUCUUAACUGUGUGAGGGUGUUUAAAA